rnacentral:rRNA from 1 species
CGGCUCCACCCCACUUCACAGCGAGGGUUCAACGCUCAACAAGGGUGCUCCCUACUCUUGACUGAUUAUCCCAGAGGAUUCGCGAGUAGGGCCUAGUAUAGGUCGCUCGCUCUAGCGACAUCCAUUCACAGGUCUGUGAGAUGCGAGAGGUGAGUUGUCACACACUCCUUAGGGGAUUCCAUCUUCCAUGGACACCGCCCUGGUGUCUAUCUCACACAACACCUUGUAUGGUGUCUCAUGAGCGAACUGUGAGACACCUAAAUAGUGUGUGUAACACAGAGCACAGCUCCUAUGUUGUUCACCCUCAAUCUCCUACCUGGUGCACAUAUCAAGACAUCUCCAAUCGAGAGAGACGCUCUCAGUCCCAUUAGAUGUGAGAGUAUGAUGUGGAUACUCAUCCAUACUACUACAAUUAGUCUCUUUGGAGAGACUGAUUACUCAUGUGCAACAGCUAUCCUGAGGGAAACUUCGGAGGGAACCAGCUCUAGAUGGCUCGAUUAGUCUUUCGCCCCUAUGCUCAGUUCUGACGAUCGAUUUGUACGUCAGAAUCGCUACGGUCUUCCACCAGAGUUUCCCCUGGCUUCAACCUCACCAAGCAUAGUUCGCCAUCUUUCGGGUUUCAGCAUAUACGCUCUAACGCCGCCCCUGUACAAGACACAUUAGGACGGGUCGGCAUUGCGCCGGGACCAACCAAGUGGUUACCCAGAUCAUGCCAGAGAACGCAGAAGCGAGCUUUUGCCUUCACUACGCCUUUGGGUUUCGUAGAACCCAAUGACUUGCGCAUAUGCUGAGCUCCUCGGUCCGUGUUUCAAGACGGGUCGGUUGGGUGACUUACUUUAACACCAGAGACUAUCGACAUGAAGUUAGCAGACGUAGCUAGAAGCACUCAUCAAACCGCAUUCUGCGAAGCCGGACUUCAGAGACGCUAACAGCUAAAGAGACAAAUCGCCUGAAUGGCUCACAUCGCAGUUAUCCAAUGCAGUAGCAAACAGAUGCAGAGUAUAUGUCACAACACCCGAAGGCAUCGUUACCACCACUCUACGAUAGUCCGCAAUCGCAAUGGUCCUGGUGCAGACAACGGGAAAGUGCACCUAACCAGUCGGCGGACGGCACACAACCAAUACUCAAACGAGUAUUUAGUAAGCGCGCUACCACCAUCCGGUCGAGUUGAAUCCCCGAGGUCUUUUUCGGCCCCAUCCGUUUACCUCUAGACAGUUUCACGUACUAUUGAACUCUCUCUUCAAAGUUCUUUUCAACUUUCCCUCACGGUACUUGUCGACUAUCGGACUAGUGCAUAGUAUUUAGCCUUAGGAGGAGUUUACCUCCCACUUUGGGUAGCAAUCUCAAACUACCCGACUCCAAGAACAACCUGUGAGAAGCUCAUCCAAUCCGUACGGGGCUUACACCCUCCAUGGACCUAAAGUCACAAUCAAGUGAACUUCAGAUAGGACUCGCGACUCGAUGGUCGUUCUAUACCCCACAAUUCCCAGCGGCGCAAGCCCGUGAUUCAGGGCUGGGCUCUUCCCUCUCAGUGAGCAUCA